UACGGAGGGUGCGAGCGUUGUCCGGAAUCACUGGGCGUAAAGGGCGCGUAGGCGGCGCGGAUAGUCGGCGGUGAAAGCCCGGAGCUCAACUCCGGGUCGGCCGUCGAUACUUCCGGGCUUGGGCACUGUAGAGGCAGAUGGAAUUCCGGGUGUAGCGGUGGAAUGCGUAGAGAUCCGGAAGAACACCGGUGGCGAAGGCGGUCUGCUGGGCAGUUGCUGACGCUGAUGCGCGACAGCGUGGGGAGCAAACGAGG
rnacentral:rRNA from 1 species